UCCUAUUGCUGGUAACGCAUGGAUUUCUGCUUCAGGAAAAGUUAUGUGCCAUUCCAAUGUACAAAGCAUCCCAUCAAGCCUUUUUUUUUACUAACUCAUCCCCUUCUCUUUUAUUUGCCCAGGUGAAUGCGCAGCCAUGGCUAUCCAUAUCCAUCAAGGAUGUCUCAUUUAGCAUGUGUCGAAAAGCUGCAAUUCUGGUAUUAUCUGCUUUCUCUUCCCCACAUUUUCCCAUACAUAUAAGAUCUCAUUGAAGUCCUCCAUGCAUAUCCAUGGAGUUGAAUUCUGGGGUUUAAGUGCCUUUAAGAGUUGCCAUAGCUGUUGCCUUUCUCCAAAAUUCGUGGAAGCAUGAACAAAGGUAAUUUGCAUCAUCAUAUUUCUGCUUACUUUAGUACAUUCCACAUUUAUAUACUGUUUAGAACUAUCUUUCACCUGCAAUGUUACGGAAUCAUUCCACAUCAAAGCCAAUCCCCCUGCUAUGCCUGUUGGAUUUUCUAGAAAUAAAUGCUGGAACUGUAAUCUUCUGCAUAUACCUUCCACCAUCAUUGCUUUAUUUUUUGUCUCCAUAAGGAAAAUUAAACUGGGUUGUUCAAGAGCAUUUAGAGCUCUAAGUUCCUGAAUUGUUAGGGGGUUGCCUAACCCCUGACAAUUCCAGCUUAUUAACUUCAUUUCGUCUUGGGUGGCUUAUUAGGGCUAGCCACUAGAGCCCAUUCCAUCUUAGAGCAACUAUACUGGAGUGUCCAUCAGAUCCAAGUCAUUUAUGAGGAGAGUAGUUGGGUCAGGCUAUUAUUUGCAUGUCUUGAUCAUUCUCUCUUGCUAUUGGGAUUGCCUCAUUAGCUGUAGAAGGUUCCACAUGGUCCGUAGGGCCCGAUUUUGUUUGCUGCCCAUGGUGAUUCUGCAUAAGGGAUUUCGGGACAAUCUGAUGCAUAGUGACCAAUUCUGCCACAUGAAUAGCAGUAAUGAGAUUCCAGCUGAAUUUCCUGGACCUUGCCUAUCUUUCUGCCGAGAUCAUGAUAUACAGGAUCAUACUAUUUAAGGACAAGUAGAUUGCUAGAGUAAGACCAUGGAGUAGACUUCAAAACCCUCUCAUUCUCCUCCUCUGAUUGAAAAACAAAGAAAAGAUACUCGAGACUACAUAGGUGUGCAAUGCAGGUCAUGUUUGACUUCAACAAAACUGGAGAUUCUCCUCGAUCAUGUUCCAACAUCAUCUUCCGCUACGACAAACAGUAGUCCAGACAGCCUGAUGCAGCCCUACCUACCCCAUCCGCACAGAUCACUUACACUCAUCACCGUAUUUCUGACAUCCAUGAGUCCAAGCCCCAUAUUGAAAGAUAAAGACGGGUCUCUACCUUAAUCGAUCUUGGAACCUGCUUCCUUCGCCAAAUCAGAACUCCGAGCUACUUUUCUAGAUGAGUGAACAAGGCCCUUCACCCUCUGGAUCGAUCAUGGAAGACGCUGCCUUCUCCAAAACGGAACUCCAGUCUCCUAAUCUAUAAGAGUGACCAAGACCCGCCAUACUCAGCGGAAUCAAGAUCGAAGGAACUUUUUGGGUUUUUUCUAUUUUGAUAAAUCGAAAGCGUAAAAGAAGACGAGGAAAGGAAUGCUAAAAAGAAGAUCUAGGGUUUAUGGGAAGGAAGACGCUACCAUGAGGUAGAGAGAGCUCGCAACAAGGAGAGAGAAAAUUGGGGAUGAUUGUAAGUUGAGUUGAUUCGUCUUUAUAGUAUGCCUUUUUAAUUGCCUCGUAGUUUGGCCGAAAUAUUGAUAUUAUGUUAUGAGAAGACUUUUGUAUUUUUC